GGUAAGAUGCAUUCGCGGGGUAUCCCCGAGAAUGGAUUUUUGGCAAGGGCCAAGUUUUUGAAAAGUGCAUAAGCCAUGUUGAGUAAUUGGAUGAAAUCCAAUUAUUUAUAUGGGUUGGAAUGAAUUAUUUUAAUUGUCUCCUAUUACUCGGCUUUAGAUUAUUUUGAUGAUGUCUGUCUACUCACUGGGAUUUUAUAAUCUCACCCCUUCUUCCUAUACAUUUUUCAAGCUCAGGACAAUUUGUUGAUAGUUGAUUAAGACGAAAAUUAAUCUCGGAGUUGCAUAUUAGAAAGUAAGGGUUCGUAACCCUACAUUUUCUUAGUUAGUUGGGGGCCCACGUGUCACUGUAAAAGUAAUUUUAUUCUUCAGUUAUUUAAUUUAAAAUAUGUAUGAAUAUAUUUAGCUUUUACGCCAUGUUUUUGGCGAGUUUCGA
rnacentral:lncRNA from 1 species